UACAGAGGCCCCAAGCGUUAUCCGGAAUCACUGGGCGUAAAGGGUGUGUAGGUGGUCGUGUUAGUCGUUUGUUAAAUCUCCCGGCCUAACCGGGAACAUGCAAACGAAACGGCACAACUAGAGGAUGUGAGGGGUCUGUGGAACUCAUGGAGUAGGGGUAAAAUCCGUUGAUAUCAUGGGGAACACCAAAAGCGAAGGCAGCAGACUGGCGCAUUCCUGACACUGAAACACGAAAGCGUAGGUAGCGAAUGGG
rnacentral:rRNA from 1 species